UGGGGAAUUUUGGACAAUGGGCGCAAGCCUGAUCCAGCCAUGCCGCGUGUCUGAAGAAGGCCUUCGGGUUGUAAAGGACUUUUGUCAGGGAAGAAAAGGCUGUUGCUAAUAUCGACAGCUGAUGACGGUACCUGAAGAAUAAGCACCGGCUAACUACGUGCCAGCAGCCGCGGUAAUACGUAGGGUGCGAGCGUUAAUCGGAAUUACUGGGCGUAAAGCGAGCGCAGACGGUUACUUAAGCAGGAUGUGAAAUCCCCGGGCUCAACCUGGGAACUGCGUUCUGAACUGGGUGACUAGAGUGUGUCAGAGGGAGGUAGAGUUCCACGUGUAGCAGUGAAAUGCGUAGAGAUGUGGAGGAAUACCGAUGGCGAAGGCAGCCUCCUGGGAUAACACUGACGUUCAUGCCCGAAAGCGUGGGUAGCAAACAGGAUUAGAUACCCUGGUAGUCCACGCCCUAAACGAUGUCGAUUAGCUGUUGGGCAGCUUGACUGCUUAGUAGCGAAGCUAACGCGUGAAAUCGACCGCCUGGGGAGUACGGUCGCAAGAUUA
rnacentral:rRNA from 1 species